rnacentral:tRNA from 1 species
GGCGGAUGUAGCCAAGUGGAUCAAGGCAGUGGAUUGUGAAUCCACCAU